UUCCUGAGUGAAAUGUAGGCUUCCAUUUAUCAUUUCACUGUGACUUCAACAUUUCUUCAUGUUAAGAAUCAAGAAUAUUAUUUAGGAGACACUCUAGAGAUGAACGCUGCUCCAGGCUUAGUGACUGUGGUACUCUUAAUGCUUGGACAAACCUACGGAGACUCAGUGACCCAGAUGGAAAGCCAAGUGACACUCUCAGAAGGGGCUUCCCUGACUAUAAACUGUACUUAUUCACCCACAGGGUACCCCAUUCUUUUCUGGUAUGUCCAAUAUCCUGACGAAGGUCCACAGCUCCUCCUGAGAGCAACCAAGGCCAACGAGAAGGGAAGCAACAAAGGUUUUGAAGCCACAUAUGAUACAGAAACCACCUCCUUCCACUUGGAGAAAGCCUCAAUCCAAGAGUCAGACUCUGCUGUGUACUACUGUGCCCUGAGUGACACAGUGACAGGAGCUGCAGUGGAGGCUGAGCACAAACUCUGA